CAACCAAGAGUUAUGUAAAUUAACUAAGGAUAAUUUGCAUUUAAAAUCACGACUAACCAAAUUAGAGGAGAAAUUGUCCCCCAAAGGUAACGCUAACUUUCCAAUUAAUCCUGACAACGAUGUUACCUACAUUACUCCGCAAACCAAUCGCCAAUUUACUGAACCUGAAGUUACUAAAUCCAUAGUCACUCAACCUGAUGUUACACUGCGUAGUUUCCCUCCUUAUCCCUCGGAGAAACGUGUAGAAAAAACAACAUCUAGUAGCACAAAUUUAAAGGAAAAAGCACGAGUACCAUGUCCCUUCCUGAAAAAGAGAGGCCACUGCCUUAAGGGGGAUAGAUGCGAUUUUUCGCACAAGUUUUACCCCGCUAUACGAAUGCAGGUCGAAGCCAAAACAAAAUCCCUCUGGAAAGUUUAUUCCCCCCGCAUACCAUACCCGAACAAUAAUCCACCUGUACUUCCUUUUCCCUUCAAUUCCUUUGAACCGUUCCCCUCUUCUAAUUUACAAUACCCUAAUGGUUACCUACCUCCUUUUCCUUCCAAUCCAAAUUACUUCCCCCCUUUUCGGUAUCCAACAUUCGGCCCCUUAUUAAAGCCGUACCAAUACCAGCGCUUGUACCCACCACCACUGAUGACUAUACCAACAAGAGCACCCUUUCAGUAAAUCGCGAGACCUCUCUAUCACAAACCACCCAUAUAAUAUUUAAUCAAUCAAAGAAAAACCUAACAACUUUCUCGUCGAAUAAAUCGAAAAGGGUUCCACACAAAUUGUCAUUCAUUCAUUUAAACAUUCGAUCUUUAAGAAACAGAAACCACAUCCUUCAACUUCGCGAAUUUGUCCGAGUUACAAAUUAUCACAUAAUUAUAUUAUCAGAAACUUGGC